rfam:Otolemur garnettii contig135183, whole genome shotgun sequence.
GGGCCUGUGGCUCAAAGGGGUGGGGCACUGGCCCCAUAUGCCAGAGGUGGUGGGUUCAAACCCAGCCCUGGCCA